rnacentral:pre_miRNA from 1 species
GUUUUUUCCAGCUUGACAGUAAACAAGUUGUUUGUUUUGUAAAACAAAACAAACAACUUGUUUACUGUCAAGCUGGAAAAAACCC